rnacentral:rRNA from 1 species
UAGCCGUAAACGAUACUCGCUGGGUGUCGGCCACGGUGCGACCGUUGUCGGUGCCGUAGGGAAGCCGUGAAGCGAGCCACCUGGGAAGUACGGCCGCAAGGCUGAAACUUAAAGGAAUUGGCGGGGGAGCACCACAACGGGUGGAGCUUGCGGUUUAAUUGGACUCAACGCCGGGAAGCUCACCGGAUAAGACAGCGGAAUGAUUGCCGGGCUGAAGACCCUGCAUGACCAGCUGAGAGGUGGUGCAUGGCGUAGUCGUGU